UACGUAGGGGGCUAGCGUUGUCCGGAAUCAUUGGGCGUAAAGAGCGUGUAGGCGGUCCGGUAAGUCCGCUGUGAAAGUCGGGGGCUCAACCCUCGGAUGCCGGUGGAUACUGUCGGGCUUGAGUACGGAAGAGGCGAGUGGAAUUCCUGGUGUAGCGGUGAAAUGCGCAGAUAUCAGGAGGAACACCAAUUGCGAAGGCAGCUCGCUGGGACGUUACUGACGCUGAGACGCGAAAGUGUGGGGAUCAAACAGG
rnacentral:rRNA from 1 species